GGUCGGUUAGCUCAGUUGGUAAGAGCGUGGUGCUGAUAACACCAAGGUCGCGGGUUCGACUCCCGCACCGACCA
rnacentral:tRNA from 2 species